rnacentral:rRNA from 1 species
UUUAUGGAGAGUUUGAUCCUGGCUCAGGAUGAACGCUGGCGGCGUGCCUAAUACAUGCAAGUCGAGCGAACGGACGAGAAGCUUGCUUCUCUGAUGUUAGCGGCGGACGGGUGAGUAACACGUGGAUAACCUACCUAUAAGACUGGGAUAACUUCGGGAAACCGGAGCUAAUACCGGAUAAUAUUUCGAACCGCAUGGUUCAAAAGUGAAAGACGGUCUUGCUGUCACUUAUAGAUGGAUCCGCGCUGCAUUAGCUAGUUGGUAAGGUAACGGCUUACCAAGGCAACGAUGCAUAGCCGACCUGAGAGGGUGAUCGGCCACACUGGAACUGAGACACGGUCCAGACUCCUACGGGAGGCAGCAGUAGGGAAUCUUCCGCAAUGGGCGAAAGCCUGACGGAGCAACGCCGCGUGAGUGAUGAAGGUCUUCGGAUCGUAAAACUCUGUUAUUAGGGAAGAACAUAUGUGUAAGUAACUGUGCACAUCUUGACGGUACCUAAUCAGAAAGCCACGGCUAACUACGUGCCAGCAGCCGCGGUAAUACGUAGGUGGCAAGCGUUAUCCGGAAUUAUUGGGCGUAAAGCGCGCGUAGGCGGUUUUUUAAGUCUGAUGUGAAAGCCCACGGCUCAACCGUGGAGGGUCAUUGGAAACUGGAAAACUUGAGUGCAGAAGAGGAAAGUGGAAUUCCAUGUGUAGCGGUGAAAUGCGCAGAGAUAUGGAGGAACACCAGUGGCGAAGGCGACUUUCUGGUCUGUAACUGACGCUGAUGUGCGAAAGCGUGGGGAUCAAACAGGAUUAGAUACCCUGGUAGUCCACGCCGUAAACGAUGAGUGCUAAGUGUUAGGGGGUUUCCGCCCCUUAGUGCUGCAGCUAACGCAUUAAGCACUCCGCCUGGGGAGUACGACCGCAAGGUUGAAACUCAAAGGAAUUGACGGGGACCCGCACAAGCGGUGGAGCAUGUGGUUUAAUUCGAAGCAACGCGAAGAACCUUACCAAAUCUUGACAUCCUUUGACAACUCUAGAGAUAGAGCCUUCCCCUUCGGGGGACAAAGUGACAGGUGGUGCAUGGUUGUCGUCAGCUCGUGUCGUGAGAUGUUGGGUUAAGUCCCGCAACGAGCGCAACCCUUAAGCUUAGUUGCCAUCAUUAAGUUGGGCACUCUAAGUUGACUGCCGGUGACAAACCGGAGGAAGGUGGGGAUGACGUCAAAUCAUCAUGCCCCUUAUGAUUUGGGCUACACACGUGCUACAAUGGACAAUACAAAGGGCAGCGAAACCGCGAGGUCAAGCAAAUCCCAUAAAGUUGUUCUCAGUUCGGAUUGUAGUCUGCAACUCGACUACAUGAAGCUGGAAUCGCUAGUAAUCGUAGAUCAGCAUGCUACGGUGAAUACGUUCCCGGGUCUUGUACACACCGCCCGUCACACCACGAGAGUUUGUAACACCCGAAGCCGGUGGAGUAACCUUUUAGGAGCUAGCCGUCGAAGGUGGGACAAAUGAUUGGGGUGAAGUCGUAACAAGGUAGCCGUAUCGGAAGGUGCGGCUGGAUCACCUCCUUUCU